AACGCUGGCGGCGUGCUUAACACAUGCAAGUCGAGUGCGCGGUUGUAGCAAUACAACUGGCGCACGGCGCACGGGUGCGUAACACGUGGGUAAUCUGCCCUCCGAUGGGGAAUAACCCCGCGAAAGCGGGGCUAAUUCCGCAUAACAUUCCGAGAACUCCGGUUUUCGGACUCAAAGCCGUAAGGCGUCGGAGGUGGAGCCCGCGCACGAUUAGCUAGUUGGUAGGGUAACGGCCUACCAAGGCUUUGAUCGUUAGCUGGUCUGAGAGGAUGGCCAGCCACACUGGAACUGAGACACGGUCCAGACUCCUACGGGAGGCAGCAAUGGGGAAUCUUGCGCAAUGGGCGAAAGCCUGACGCAGCGACGCCGCGUGGGGGAUGAAGCUUCUCGGAGUGUAAACCCCUUUCGACUGGGACGAAUACUUCGCAAGAGGGGUGACGGUACCAGUAGAAGAAGCCCCGGCUAACUACGUGCCAGCAGCCGCGGUAAGACGUAGGGGGCCAGCGUUGUUCGGAAUUACUGGGUGUAAAGGGUUCGUAGGCGGUGUGGCAAGUCGGGAGUGAAAUUUCUGGGCUUAACUCA
rnacentral:rRNA from 1 species